GACGAACGCUGGCGGCGUGCUUAACACAUGCAAGUCGAACGGAAAGGCCCUGCUUUUGUGGGGUGCUCGAGUGGCGAACGGGUGAGUAACACGUGAGUAACCUGCCCUUGACUUUGGGAUAACUUCAGGAAACUGGGGCUAAUACCGGAUAGGAGCUCCUGCUGCAUGGUGGGGGUUGGAAAGUUUCGGCGGUUGGGGAUGGACUCGCGGCUUAUCAGCUUGUUGGUGGGGUAGUGGCUUACCAAGGCCUUGACGGGUAGCCGGCCUGAGAGGGUGACCGGCCACAUUGGGACUGAGAUACGGCCCAGACUCCUACGGGAGGCAGCAGUGGGGAAUAUUGCACAAUGGGCGGAAGCCUGAUGCAGCAACGCCGCGUGCGGGAUGACGGCCUUCGGGCUGUAAACCGCUUUCGCCUGUGACGAAGCGUGAGUGACGGUAAUGGGUAAAGAAGCACCGGCUAACUACGUG
rnacentral:rRNA from 1 species